AAGUGGGUCUCAUUGGGGGGUUCCGAUCCCGGAUCCCGCUUACUGUUUUGUCAGAUUCCCGUAUCCCGCUUACUGUUUUGUCAGAUUCCCGUAUCCCGCUUACACUAUGUACGUAAGCAAUUCUUUUUUUUUUGUCAUUUCCCGGGUCCCGCAAGACCUCAUUUCCCGUUUUCACGACACAAUAAUUUGACUUUCCCGUGUCACGCUUACAAAAAAUCGGCAAUCCCGCGUCACGCUUAGACCCCAAUGAGACCCACU
rnacentral:lncRNA from 1 species